rnacentral:rRNA from 1 species
AUUGAACGCUGGCGGCAUGCUUUACACAUGCAAGUCGAACGGCAGCGCGGGCUUCGGCCUGGCGGCGAGUGGCGAACGGGUGAGUAAUACAUCGGAACGUGCCCAGUAGUGGGGGAUAGCUCGGCGAAAGCCGGAUUAAUACCGCAUACGACCUGAGGGUGAAAGCGGGGGAUCUUCGGACCUCGCGCUAUUGGAGCGGCCGAUGGCAGAUUAGCUAGUUGGUGGGGUAAAGGGCGACCAAGGCGACGAUCUGUAGCUGGUCUGAGAGGACGACCAGCCACACUGGGACUGAGACACGGCCCAGACUCCUACGGGAGGCAGCAGUGGGGAAUUUUGGACAAUGGGCGAAAGCCUGAUCCAGCAAUGCCGCGUGUGUGAUGAAGGCCUUCGGGUUGUAAAGCACUUUUGGCGGGAACGAAAAGGACUGUGCCAAUACCACGGUUCGAUGACGGUACCCGCAGAAUAAGCACCGGCUAACUACGUG